rnacentral:rRNA from 1 species
GACGAACGCUGGCGGCGUGCUUAACACAUGCAAGUCGAGCGAGUUGAUUCCCUUCGGGGAUGAAGCUAGCGGCGGACGGGUGAGUAACACGUGGGCAACCUGCCUUAUAGAGGGGGAUAGCCUUCCGAAAGGAAGAUUAAUACCGCAUAACAUCAGAUUAUCGCAUGGUAGACUGAUCAAAGGAGCAAUCCGCUAUAAGAUGGGCCCGCGUCGCAUUAGCUAGUUGGUGAGGUAACGGCUCACCAAGGCGACGAUGCGUAGCCGACCUGAGAGGGUGAUCGGCCACAUUGGGACUGAGACACGGCCCAGACUCCUACGGGAGGCAGCAGUGGGGAAUAUUGCACAAUGGGGGAAACCCUGAUGCAGCAACGCCGCGUGAGUGAUGAAGGCCUUCGGGUUGUAAAGCUCUUUGAUCAGGGACGAUAAUGACGGUACCUGAAGAACAAGCCACGGCUAACUUCGUGCCAGCAGCCGCGGUAAAAC